rnacentral:rRNA from 1 species
UACUCCGUGCCAGCAGCCGCGGUAAAACGUAGGGUGCAAGCGUUAAUCGGAAUUACUGGGCGUAAAGGGCAUGUAGGCGGUAUUUUAAGCAUUGUGUGAAAUACCUAGGCUUAACCUAGGAACGGCAUAAUGAACUGAAGAACUAGAGUGCAGUAGAGGAAGGUAGAAUUCCAGGUGUAGCGGUGAAAUGCGUAGAUAUCUGGAGGAAUACCAGUGGCGAAGGCGGCCUUCUGGACUGACACUGACGCUGAGGUGCGAAAGCGUGGGUAGCAAACAGGAUUAGAUACCCUGGUAGUCCACGCCGUAAACUAUAUCAACUAGCCGUUGGAUUAUUAAAUAAUUUAGUGGCGAAGCUAACGCGAUAAGUUGAUCGCCUGGGAAGUACGGCCGCAAGGCUAAAACUCAAAUGAAUUGACGGGGGCCCGCACAAGCGGUGGAGCAUGUGGUUUAAUUCGAUGCAACGCGAAGAACCUUACCUACUCUUGACAUCCAAAGAAAUUUUCAGAGAUGAAAAUGUGCCUUCGGGAACUUUGAGACAGGUGCUGCAUGGCUGUCGUCAGCUCGUGUUGUGAAAUGUUGGGUUAAGUCCCGUAACGAGCGUAACCCUUGUCCUUAUUUGCCAGUGCGUAAUGGCGGGAACUUUAAGGAGACUGCUGGUGAAAAACCGGAGGAAGGUGGGGACGACGUCAAGUCAUCAUGGCCUUUAUGAGUAGGGCUACACACGUGCUACAAUGGCGAAGACAAAGGGUCGCAAAACGGUAACGUGAAGCUAAUCCCAGAAAGAUUGUCUCAGUUCGGAUUGAGUCUGCACUCGCCC